ensembl:snRNA U2 U2 spliceosomal RNA
AUUGCUUCUCAGCCUUUUGGCUAAGAUCAAGUGUAGUAUCUGUUCUUAUCAGUAAAAAUUGUCCCCAAGCAGAAAGUCAAGGCAAUUGUAGAGCUUACCUAGUUUGUUUCCCUUCCCGCAUAGUUCUUUACUGCUUUUUACAGUUGUUUCAUAUAUUUUUUGAGUUUUCUAUCCUUU